rnacentral:rRNA from 1 species
UACGUAGGGGGCAAGCGUUGUCCGGAAUCAUUGGGCGUAAAGAGCGCGUAGGCGGCCCUGUAAGUCCGCUGUGAAAGUCAAGGGCUCAACCCUUGAAUGCCGGUGGAUACUGCAGGGCUAGAGUCCGGAAGAGGCGAGUGGAAUUCCUGGUGUAGCGGUGAAAUGCGCAGAUAUCAGGAGGAACACCGAUGGGCGAAGGCAGCUCGCUGGGACGGUACUGACGCUGAGGCGCGAAGCGUGGGGAGCAAACAGG